UAUGGAUAUUGAAAACAGCCCUUCAAAAUUUGUCUUUUAGUUAUUUUUAGGAAGUUUUUAAUACGAAAAUCAAAUUAUUAUUGUUAAUUUAUUGUUUACCUUAGGUAUGUAUACAUUAUGUUUGUUUUAAUAUUGUGUAGGUACUGAUAUUUUAACUUUAUACUUUAUGUUUUAUUUUUGUACAUUUACAGAUAAAAUAAGCAGCCAUUUUCUUCAAUUUGUCCAUUUUUAGAGAACAUCUUCGACAGUUAAGCCCCCUAAACGGAAAUCGAUUAGUCGAUACACAUCUAAAGCACGAAACGAAAGAAACAGACGAGCAAAAAUUAGAACAGAGAACCAAGAUUAGAAGCUAAUCGAGUACCUAGCUACACAAUGAUCAAGCCUCUCAAAUGAAUGAUCAACAAGACUUAAGAUUAGAAGCUAAUCGAGUACACUACAAUAUUUCAAUAUACGGACGGCCUUUCGGUGAAACACUUAAUUUGUCUCCUGAUCCAAUACCUGCUGAUGAACUUUCGUAAUGCGUGUCUAAAAUCAUCAAUUCAAUAAGUGACAUAUAAAGAAAUUGACUUUGAAAACCAAUAUGCGUGUUCAACUACAAAAUUAUACAUCAGCUGCAUUAACGUUUUUCAAAUUAAUUACUGGACAUUGGGAAUAUGAAUAUGGCAUAUGACAUGUUAUCUACGCAUUGUAGGUAUCAUAUUGCCAACAAACUUUUGUAAUAUAAUAACAUCAACAAAAGACGAAUUGAUUCUAAAAAUUUUCCCAAAUAUCCCGCGAAAUAACAAAAUCAUGAGUGGCUAAGUGUACUUACGUACUAUUUUAGCAAUUACGAACAACGAUAUCAAUGCAAUCAAAACCUAUUCAAAACGGAAUACCAGGCGAGGCGACUACGUAGAAAUCCAUUGAUAUUCGAUACUAUGAUGAAUCAUUAAUCAAGACAAAGUGGUAAUUUACCCAACGGAAUUCUUGAAUUCAGUAGAUUUGCCAUUCAGAUAUACCACUGCACAUUUUAACAAUUUGAAAACUUAAAAUUGACAAUUAUCGUAUCUACUAUUCUUCUCCGAAACAUCAUUGCACUACAAUUUUGCAAUAGUAUAAGACUUUCGGUGAUAAAGAUGAGGAAAAUAUCAUCAGAGCUACAAUUUUGAAUGGGAAAUUCAAUUAGGAAUAUAUACUGUUACCACGUAUUCCAAUGAAUCCAAAAAAAAUAUGUCAUUUGAAUUCAAACGUUUAGUUUCGUAAGACCAAUUCUGCCCUUUUUCAUGGUGAUCCAGUUGACAAAGCUCACCGGUUUUGGGUUCCCAUUUCAGAUAUUACUUAGUGUCAUGGCAACAAUCACAAUUAUAAUAACAAUCUUGGAAAAUUUAGAAUGACUCCAUCAAUGCACCAAAUAGACCUAAAAUUCUAAAAAAAGCUACCUAUCUUGUCAUUUUUUUUUUUAUUGCAACAGUAUUAUAGUAGAUAAUAUUCUUAGAUAGGAAAAAAAUAAACACAUCACACAAUAUAGAGGAUUAUAUUCCUCACUGUUCAAAGAAUCUAAUUUGUUGGUACAGAACAUUAUUAAUA